rnacentral:rRNA from 1 species
UCGCCUACAUGAAGCUGGAAUUGCUAGUAAUCACAGGUCAGCAUACUGUGGUGAAUACGUUCCCGGGCCUUGUACACACCGCCCGUCACACCAUAAGAGUUGAGAAUACCCGAAGCCCAUGUCAAAGUGGUCGAAGGUAGGCUUGAUGAUUGGGGUGAAGUCGUAACAAGGUAAC